rnacentral:rRNA from 1 species
AUUGAACGCUGGCGGCAGGCUUAACACAUGCAAGUCGAGCGGUAACAGAGAGGAGCUUGCUUCUCUGCUGACGAGCGGCGGACGGGUGAGUAAUGCCUAGGAAUCUGCCUAGUAGUGGGGGAUAACUUGCCGAAAGGUAAGCUAAUACCGCAUACGUCCUACGGGAGAAAGGAGGGGACCUUCGGGCCUUUCGCUAUUAGAUGAGCCUAGGUCGGAUUAGUUAGUUGGUGAGGUAAUGGCUCACCAAGACCGCGAUCCGUAACUGGUCUGAGAGGAUGAUCAGUCACACUGGAACUGAGUCACGGUCCAGACUCCUACGGGAGGCAGCAGUGGGGAAUAUUGGACAAUGGGGGGAACCCUGAUCCAGCCAUGCCGCGUGUAUGAAGAAGGUCUUAGGAUUGUAAAGCACUUUAAGUUGGGAGGAAGAGCAGUUAACUAAUAUUUGACUGUUUUGACGUUACCGACAGAAUAAGCACCGGCUAACUUCGUGCCAGCAGCCGCCGUAA